UGAUGCAGCCACGCCGCGUGAGGGAUGACGGCCUUCGGAUUUGUAACCUCUUUCNGUUGGGAAGAAGCGAAAGUGACUGUACCUGCAUAGUAUUNNCGGCUAACUACNUGCCACCACCCGCGGUUCUACGUANGGUGCCAGCGUUGUCCGGAAUUAUUGGGCGUAAAUAGCUUGUACGGGGUUUGUCGCGUCUGCUGUGAANUNCGGGGCUCAANCCCGGACUUGCGGUGUCUACCGGCAAACUGCAUUGUGAAAUGAGAGACUGGAAUUCCUGGUGUAGCGGUGAAAUGUCCAGAUAUCAGGAGAAACGCCGAUGGCGAAGGCAGAUCUCUGGUGCAUAACUGACCCUGAUGAACGAAAACGGGCGGAGCGAAGAGGAUUAGAUACCCUGGUACUCCACGCCAUACACUGUGGGACCUAGGUGUGNNUCUCAUUCCAUAACAUCCGUGCCCCAUCUAAUUUUAUAGGUUCCCCGCCUGG
rnacentral:rRNA from 1 species